UGCAUAAAGGUUAGGAUGAACAUCACCAAGUAUCCUUCCAAAAAAGUGUUUUGUCCUCUUUUCCAACAACCUUUUAAAAAAAAUUAUCAAACCGAAUAUCUCUAUUAUUAAAAUCACAAUUGAUUUGAGAAAUACUCAACAAAAUACCUUUAAUAGACUUCUUGGCUAUUGAUCUACCAUAAAUAAGUUUAAUAUUAUGAAUAGCUUUUAUACGAGAAAACAAAAAAGAAUCAUACCCAUUUAACCAUUUUUCAAUCUCACCCGCCACUUGGCGAGAAGCUCCAAGUUAGCCGAAUCAAGACACUCAACUCCAAGACCUCUCAUCUCCUUUGGUUUAAUAACUACUUUCAAAGCCACCCAAUUGAUCUUCCUCUUCUCUCUACUCUCUAAUACUUAAAAAGAGGUAACAUAUUUUAAUUAUCUUUUCUAUAACCAAUUUAAUUCGUAUAUAAAAUGAUUCAAGCUUCAACACUUCUAAUGCACGUAUGCUAUUCAAAUUGUAUUUGUUGAUGUUCAUAUUUUCAUGAUUAAUCUAAGUAUUCACUGGAAAGAAAUAUACUAAUUUCUAUGUAAGUAUAUUGUUUGUAUACAAGAAAUGAGUACUUCAAAAAAAAAAAAAAAAAAAGAAACCAAACGCAAUUCACUGUGUCGUACUAGUCGCCGAUUAACAAUGCAUGUUCUUAAUGCAAAUUUGCUUAUUUGUACUUUGUAAUUUGUAUAUAACUAAAGUACUAAACUAAAUAACUAUUACUAUAUAUUUAAAGUGAAUUAAAAAACGAGGAGUGCAGGUUUUGAAUUCAAUGAGUUCUGUUUAACUAGUGUGCUUGGUGGGUGUAUUUGAUGAGUAUUAACCAAGGUGAACAGAUUCACGAGUAUUCUAUCAAGAGAGGAUACUUGUCUGGGUGUUCGAAGCAUUUAAGCAAUGCGCUUAUGGUUAUGUUUGGUAGAUGUGGGUUCAAAAGCAAUGCAGAGAACCUGUUCGAUGAAAUGCCUGACAGAGAUGUUGUAUCUUGGACAGGGCGGAUUGCUGUGACUUUCGAUUUUGUAGAAGCCUUUAUGAUCUUCAAAUAUUGUAUUUUAAGAGGUUAUGAAAUAAACGAGUAUGCAUUCAUCACCCAUUGAAGGUGCUUUGAAAAUGGGAAAGCAGAUUCAUACAAUCAUAUGCGAGACUGGGUAUUCGGUUGUGACAUCUGUUUGCAAUGCCUUGAUUUACAUGUAUACAAAGAGUAACCAGAUGCAUGAUGCUAGAUGGGUGUUUGAUGAAAUGGUUCAUCAAAAUUCAGCAUCUUGGAAUUCACUGAUUAGUGGUUUCUCUCAGUAUCAACUUUCUAACCAAGCUAUUUACUUGUUCUCUGGAAUCCACAAUUCCUUCCUACAACCUAAUGAAUACAUUCUUGAAGAAUCAUCAAACUUGAAUUUUCUAAAAUGGGCAACACAAAUCCAUUCGCUUAUACUUAAACUUUUAUAAAUCAAGAAACGUAUUCAAUGAAAUCAAUACAAUAAAUGUGUCACAACUUCCAAAGGAACAAGAUGCAUUCUUUUCAAAUUGAUAACAUAAUUUUUGAAGAGUUGAAGGAUAUAAUUUUUGUAAUGUACUACUCUCUUUGAAAAUGGAGUUUUUCUGAUCUUACAAAGAUGUUACACAGAAAAUGAAAAUGUAAAUCUACAUCAAUAUCUCUAAUAAGUUUUUCUGUAAGAAAUGUUGUGAUUCAAAGAUGUUCUUAAGAAGACAGAAACUACUGAACGAAAAGCAGUUGUUGCUAUCUUGGAUUUAAUCUGCCCCCUCAUUGAUUGAGGUUUUAUAGAGAAGAUGCACCAACUUUUAGAAUAGCAGAGGUAGGAAAGAAGCUUCAGUUUUUGAAUUUCAAUUGUUGAGUGGUGUGGGGUUGAGAGGCAAUGCCAGCAAAUUGGUGGUGUAGAAAGAUUCCUUUCUGCCUUACAUUAAGAGUAAAGACACACUGAAUCUACAAUAUUUGAUAUGGUUGAUUAGAUUUUUCAAAGGAAAAGAUUUUGCUUAAUGAUUAAGAGAAGGUACAGAUUGCAACUUCA